rfam:Frankia sp. EAN1pec, complete genome.
GAGGCCCUUCGGAGUCGCCCUGCGGGGGGAGGCUCCAAACCACCCAGCGGUGCCUUAGCUGAAGACUGUGGUGUUGAACGGUCUGGGAAAAGUCCGGGUGAACCCGGGCAGGU